rnacentral:rRNA from 1 species
CUCUCUAAACUGAAUAGUUUCUAUAAGCAAAGAAGUAAGAAAGGAUGGGCUACUGAUGGUGAUCGUAAUAUGAAAUUUUUUCAUCAAGUUGUGCUUAAGCGAAGGAAAAGGAAUACUAUCUGCUCGGUUAAGGAUGAAAAUAAUAUUGUGCAUUUUAAGCCUAGUCUCAUUGCUAAUACCUUUGUUAGUUAUUUCAGCAACUAUGGUAGACCUUUUCUUGCUUCUCACUUACCGGAGGGCUCUUUGGACCCUACUUAUUUAAUUCCGAAUAAAAAUGAGGUCUUGCAGAUUUUGAAGGACAUGAAGUUAAAUGCUUCUCCAGGGCCAGAUGGUUUUAAUGUCGAGUUUUAUUUGGCUACUUGGGAUUGGAUAGGAGACGAUGUCACUCAAUUGGUAGUUAAUUUUUAUAGAACAGGUAUAUUGCCCCCUCACGUGAGUGAUACAAACAUUGCUCUCAUUCCUAAACUUGUUCCUCAGGUUCCUAUGGAUUAUCGUCCC